rnacentral:rRNA from 1 species
CACGUAGUUAGCCGGGGCUUCUUAGUCAGGUACCGUCAUUAUUCUUCCCUGCUGAUAGAGCUUUACGUACCGAAAUACUUCUUCACUCACGCGGCGUCGCUGCAUCAGGGUUUCCCCCAUUGUGCAAUAUCCCCCACUGCUGCCUCCCGUAGGAGUCUGGGCCGUGUCUCAGUCCCAAUGUGGCCGUUCACCCUCUCAGGCCGGCUACUGAUCGUUGCCUUGGUGGGCUUUUACCUCACCAACUAGCUAAUCAGACGCGGAACCAUCGUAUACCACCGGAGUUUUUCGCACUGCUUCAUGCGAAGCUGUGCGCUUAUGCGGUAUUAGCACCUAUUUCUAAGUGUUAUCCCCCAGUAUACGGCAGGUUUUCCACGCGUUACUCACCCGUCCGCCACUAACUUAUAAUUCACUAGGUUUCGUUAUAAGUCCGUUCGACUUGCAUGUGUUAGGCACGCCGCCAGCGUUCAUCCUGAGCCAGGAUCAAACUCU